rnacentral:rRNA from 1 species
CCUACGGGAUGCAGCAGUGAGGAAUAUUGGUCAAUGGCCGGAAGGCUGAACCAGCCAUGCCGCGUGAAGGUCAGUGCCCUAUGGGCGUUAAACUUCUUUUGUGCGGGAGCAAUAAUGGUCACGUGUGGCCAGACGAGAGUACCGUACGAAUAAGCAUCGGCUAACUCCGUGCCAGCAGCCGCGGUAAUACGGGGGAUGCAGGCGUUAUCUGGAUUUAUUGGGGUUAAAGGGUGCGUAGGCUGUGAGGUAAGUCAGCGGUGAAAUGCCCCCGCUCAACGGGGUGAAGUGCCAUUGAUACUGCCUUGCUGGAAUGCGGAUGCCGUGGGAGGAAUGUGUGGUGUAGCGGUGAAAUGCAUAGAUAUCACACAGAACACCGAUUGCGAAGGCAUCUCACGAAUCCGCGAUUGACGCUGAUGCACGAAAGCGUGGGUAUCAAACAGGAUUAGAUACCCGGGUAGUC